UACGUAGGGUGCGAGCGUUGUCCGGAAUUACUGGGCGUAAAGGGUGCGUAGGUGGCGCGCUAAGUCAGGUGUGAAAUUUCGGAGCUUAACUCCGAAACUGCAUUUGAUACUGGCGUGCUUGAGGACUGGAGAGGAGACUGGAAUUCACGGUGUAGCAGUGAAAUGCGUAGAGAUGUGGAGGAACACCGAUGGCGAAGGCAGCCUCCUGGGCCAGCACUGACGCUCAUGCACGAAAGCGUGGGGAGCAAACAGG
rnacentral:rRNA from 1 species